rnacentral:rRNA from 1 species
AGAGUUUGAUCCUGGCUCAGGAUGAAACGCUGGCGGCGUGCUUAACACAUGCAAGUCGAACGAAGCAUUUUUUAACUUUCGGGUUAAAAAAAUGACUUAGUGGCGGACGGGUGAGUAACACGUGGGUAACCUGCCUUAUACAGGGGGAUAACAGCUGGAAACGGCUGCUAACACCGCAUAAGCGCACAGUGUCGCAUGACACAGUGUGAAAAUAUUAAUAGGUAUAAGAUGGACCCGCGUCUGAUUAGCUAGUUGGUGAGGUAAUGGCCCACCAAGGCGACGAUCAGUAGCCGGCUUGAGAGAGUGAACGGCCACAUUGGGACUGAGACACGGCCCAAACUCCUACGGGAGGCAGCAGUGGGGAAUAUUGCACAAUGGGGGAAACCCUGAUGCAGCGACGCCGCGUGAGUGAAGAAGUAUUUCGGUAUGUAAAGCUCUAUCAGCAGGGACGAUAAUGACGGUACCUGACUAAGAAGCCCCGGCUAACUACGUGCCAGCAGCCGCGGUAAUACGUAGGGGGCAAGCGUUAUCCGGAUUUACUGGGUAAAGGGAGCGUAGGUGGUUCGAUAAGUCAGAUGUGAAAGCCCGGGGCUCAACCCCGGGACUGCAUUUGAAACUAUCGAACUAGAGUGCAGGAGAGGUAAGUGGAAUUCCUAGUGUAGCGGUGAAAUGCGUAGAUAUUAGGAGGAACGCCAGUGGCGAAGGCGGCUUACUGGACUGUAACUGACACUGAGGCUCGAAAAGCGUGGGGAGCAAACAGGAUUAGAUACCCUGGUAGUCCACGCCGUAAACGAUAAAUACUAGGUGUCGGGGCCCAUCCGGGCUUCGGUGCCGCAGCAAACGCAAUAAGUAUUCCACCUGGGGAGUACGUUCGCAAGAAUGAAACUCAAAUGAAUUGACGU